rnacentral:rRNA from 1 species
GGGUUGUGAGGUUAAGCGACUAAGCGUACACGGUGGAUGCCCUGGCAGUCAGAGGCGAUGAAGGACGUGCUAAUCUGCGAAAAGCGUCGGUAAGGUGAUAUGAACCGUUACAGCCGGCGAUGUCCGAAUGGGGAAACCCAGUGCAAUUCGUUGCACUAUCGUUAACUGAAUACAUAGGUUAACGAGGCGAACCGGGGGAACUGAAACAUCUAAGUACCCCGAGGAAAAGAAAUCAACCGAGAUUCCCCCAGUAGCGGCGAGCGAACGGGGAGCAGCCCAGAGUCUGAAUCAGCUUGUGUGUUAGUGGAACGGUCUGGAAAGUCCGACGGUACAGGGUGAUAGUCCCGUACACCAAAAUGCACAGGCUGUGAACUCGAAGAGUAGGGCGGGACACGUGGUAUCCUGUCUGAAUAUGGGGGGACCAUCCUCCAAGGCUAAAUACUCCUGACUGACCGAUAGUGAACCAGUACCGUGAGGGAAAGGCGAAAAGAACCCCGGCGAGGGAGUGAAAAAGAACCUGAAACCGUGUACGUACAAGCAGUGGGAGCACCUUCGGGUGUGACUGCGUACCUUUGUAUAAUGGGUCAGCGACUUAUAUUCUGUAGCAAGGUUAACCGUAUAGGGAGCCGCAGGAAACCGAGUCUUAACUGGGCGUUAAGUUGCAGGGUAUAGACCCGAAACCCGGUGAUUCAGCCAUGGGCAGGUUGAAGGUUGGGUAACACUAACUGGAGGACCGAACCGACUAAUGUUGAAAAAUUAGCGGAUGACUUGUGGCUGGGGUGAAAGGCCAAUCAAACCGGGAGAUAGCUGGUUCUCCCGGAAGCUAUUUAGGUAGCGCCUCGUGAACUCAUCUUCGGGGUAGAGCACUGUUUCGGCUAGGGGUCAUCCCGACUUACCAACCCGAUGCAAACUACGAAUACCGAAGAAUGUUAUCACGGGAGACACACGGCGGGUGCUAACGUCCGUCGUGAAGAGGGAAACAACCCAGACCGCCAGCUAAGGUCCCAAAGUCAUGGUUAAGUGGGAAACGAUGUGGGAAGGCACAGACAGCCAGGAUGUUGGCUUAGAAGCAGCCAUCAUUUAAAGAAAGCGUAAUAGCUCACUGGUCGAGUCGGCCUGCGCGGAAGAUGUAACGGGGCUAAACCAUGCACCGAAGCUGCGGCAGCGACACUAUGUGUUGUUGGGUAGGGGAGCGUUCUGUAAGCCUGCGAAGGUGUGCUGUGAGGCAUGCUGGAGGUAUCAGAAGUGCGAAUGCUGACAUAAGUAACGAUAAAGCGGGUGAAAAGCCCGCUCGCCGGAAGACCAAGGGUUCCUGUCCAACGUUAAUCGGGGCAGGGUGAGUCGACCCCUAAGGCGAGGCCGAAAGGCGUAGUCGAUGGGAAACAGGUUAAUAUUCCUGUACUUGGUGUUACUGCGAAGGGGGGACGGAGAAGGCUAUGUUAGCCGGGCGACGGUUGUCCCGGUUUAAGCAUGUAGGCUGGUUGUCCAGGCAAAUCCGGAUAAUCAAGGCUGAGGUGUGAUGACGAGGCACUUACGGUGCUGAAGUAACAAAUGCCCUGCUUCCAGGAAAAGCCUCUAAGCAUCAGGUAACAUUAAAUCGUACCCCAAACCGACACAGGUGGUCAGGUAGAGAAUACCAAGGCGCUUGAGAGAACUCGGGUGAAGGAACUAGGCAAAAUGGUGCCGUAACUUCGGGAGAAGGCACGCUGGUGUGUAGGUGAAGUCCCUGCGGAUGGAGCUGAGACCAGUCGAAGAUACCAGCUGGCUGCAACUGUUUAUUAAAAACACAGCACUGUGCAAACACGAAAGUGGACGUAUACGGUGUGACGCCUGCCCGGUGCCGGAAGGUUAAUUGAUGGGGUUAUCCGUAAGGAGAAGCUCUUGAUCGAAGCCCCGGUAAACGGCGGCCGUAACUAUAACGGUCCUAAGGUAGCGAAAUUCCUUGUCGGGUAAGUUCCGACCUGCACGAAUGGCGUAAUGAUGGCCAGGCUGUCUCCACCCGAGACUCAGUGAAAUUGAACUCGCUGUGAAGAUGCAGUGUACCCGCGGCAAGACGGAAAGACCCCGUGAACCUUUACUAUAGCUUGACACUGAACAUUGAGCCUUGAUGUGUAGGAUAGGUGGGAGGCUUUGAAGCGUGGACGCCAGUCUGCGUGGAGCCAACCUUGAAAUACCACCCUUUAAUGUUUGAUGUUCUAACGUUGGCCCUUACCGGGGUUGCGGACAGUGUCUGGUGGGUAGUUUGACUGGGGCGGUCUCCUCCCAAAGCGUAACGGAGGAGCACGAAGGUUAGCUAAUCCUGGUCGGACAUCAGGAGGUUAGUGCAAUGGCAUAAGCUAGCUUGACUGCGAGCGUGACGGCGCGAGCAGGUGCGAAAGCAGGUCAUAGUGAUCCGGUGGUUCUGAAUGGAAGGGCCAUCGCUCAACGGAUAAAAGGUACUCCGGGGAUAACAGGCUGAUACCGCCCAAGAGUUCAUAUCGACGGCGGUGUUUGGCACCUCGAUGUCGGCUCAUCACAUCCCGGGCUGAAGUAGGUCCCAAGGGUAUGGCUGUUCGCCAUUUAAAGUGGUACGCGAGCUGGGUUUAGAACGUCGUGAGACAGUUCGGUCCCUAUCUGCCGUGGGCGCUGGAGAAUUGAGGGGGGCUGCUCCUAGUACGAGAGGACCGGAGUGGACGCAUCACUGGUGUUCGGGUUGUCAUGCCAAUGGCACUGCCCGGUAGCUAAAUGCGGAAGAGAUAAGUGCUGAAAGCAUCUAAGCACGAAACUUGCCCCGAGAUGAGUUCUCCCUGAGACUUUAAGUCUCCUGAAGGAACGUUGAAGACGACGACGUUGAUAGGCCGGGUGUGUAAGCGCAGCGAUGCGUUGAGCUAACCGGUACUAAUGAACCGUGAGGCUUAACCUUACAACGCCGAAG